UCAGGACGAACGCUGGCGGCGUGCUUAACACAUGCAAGUCGAACGGUAAGGUCCUUCGGGGUACACGAGUGGCGAACGGGUGAGUAACACGUGGGUGAUCUGCCCUGCACUUCGGGAUAAGCCUGGGAAACUGGGUCUAAUACCGGAUAGGACCAUGGACUUCACGGUUUGUGGUGGAAAGCUUUUGCGGUGUGGGAUGGGCCCGCGGCCUAUCAGCUUGUUGGUGGGGUAAUGGCCUACCAAGGCGACGACGGGUAGCCGGCCUGAGAGGGUGUCCGGCCACACUGGGACUGAGAUACGGCCCAGACUCCUACGGGAGGCAGCAGUGGGGAAUAUUGCACAAUGGGCGCAAGCCUGAUGCAGCGACGCCGCGUGAGGGAUGACGGCCUUCGGGUUGUAAACCUCUUUCAAUAGGGACGAAGCGCAAGUGACGGUACCUAUAGAAGAAGCACCGGCCAACUACGUG
rnacentral:rRNA from 1 species